AUGGAAGCUACAACAGAGGUACCAACUGAAGUCCAAGAAGGAAAACCAGCAAAGAAGAAAAAGGGAUCGAAAUGGAAGGCAACCAAAGAGGUCAUUGCCAAAGAAACUGCCAUCAGAACUGCUAAAAAAGCUGGCAUGAGAGAAGCCAUUGCCAAACAAGCCAAGUCCAAAGAAGCCAUGGCCAAAGAAGCCAUGGCUAAAGACACCAUGGUCAAAGAAACCAUGGCCAAAGCAGCUGAAGAAAAGGAAUUGUUAUUGGAGUCAGAUAAGGUACACUAUUAUUAUACUGUACUGAUUUAGACACUCUUAAGGGUCUGCAUGGGCUGUCAAAAAUGCUAAAAAAAACCAGAAGUGUCCAGCUGUAUUCUGCCAAUGUGUUGUGGUUUGCAGUUAUUUUUCAAUAUUGUAAUCAGUCUGAGUUUAAAUACAUCUGUACCGAAAACUCAGAUUAACUCACUGAAUGGAUGAAUAUUUGUACCACUCCCACAGUUAUAGUUACAGUUUUGUUUGAUUUUAAUAUAUUGAUCAUCAAUCCCAGGCCCUUUUCUGUAAUGCAGGCUGUGCAAGAGAAGGACAGAGCAACUGAGAGAAAAGAAUUUCAGGCUGAAAUAAAGAGACUGAAAAAAGCUGAAUAUGAGGCAAGACAGCUUGCACUGAGGUAUAUGCACAAGAUUUUUUUUUGUAAACAUGUGAUGUGAUCAUUUCAUAUUUUUUCAAAAUACCAAUGCUUUCUUCUCCCUGCCCCACUUUUUUUUCCUUUAGACUCCAACAAGACUUAAAUCAAUCUGGUCGAUCGUGGAAAAUGAAGUUUGAAAUUCUAAAGAAAAGGUAUUUUGAUGUUAGAUGUGCAUAUUAACAAAAUCCACAACAAAGCAUUCGAGAAUAAUUUAUUUUAAUGAGACAGCUAAUGUAAUCCUGUCUAUGCCUAGUCAUACAUAAGACCUGUGGGCAAAUAUAUAUAUAUUCCAUGUGUAGAGGCAUCAUUAUUGGAGGUAAUACACUUACUGGUUAGAAAGUAGAUUGACUUUCAAUGCAAAAGUCUGCAUGUCCAUAUAGAAAAUGGUUUACCCUAUAUAUUCAUGUAUAAAUGUAGAACUUUAAUCAGAAUUUCAGUUUCUAGGGUCACUACUUGGUUUUUUUUAAAAAAAAAAAGAUUCUCUGAGGCACAAAAAGAUCCACAGGCAUAU
rnacentral:lncRNA from 1 species